AAGAAAACAAGCCCUUCUACCAAUUGCAACACUCACAUGCUAUCCUCCCAGGAGGAGCCGUCGCUACCAUAACAUCCCCAUCCAAUGACUGGAGAGCAGAGGGCAGCCAUUGAGCUAGGCUCAGGGAGCCCUCAGUUCACCGCCCUGCAGCCCAGUGAAUGCUGUAAUAGAAACAUAAACCCAGUGCUGAGGAACACAAGUAAGGAGCACUCUCUCCUGGGUGGAUCAGGGGCACCAUUAUGGAGGUAUACUUAUUUGCGGACUAGAUAUUCCAAGAGUCAUAUGUUCAGUGGUUAUGUGAGUGAACUGCUGCAAUACUGCCUGGGUUGAAGCCGUGGCCACAUCACUUACCUGCUAGGUGGGUAUGACCACACUGUAUACCCUUAGGUUAGUCACAUGCGCUCUCUGUGCUUCAGUUCCCUCAGCUGUAAAAUGGGGACAAAUUAUGGAAGUUAAUAUAUGUAAAGGCUUGGGAAGGUGGUGGGCAAAUACAGUGGGUCCCAAGGGUGAAGGAGGGCUCACUGGGAAAACUCUGACUGAGUGGGGAGGAGUAUUUUAUCACUGUCAUUGUUUAGAAUUGCCAACAUAUGAUGGUUAGAAAAAGCAGACUCAUUUUUUGGUUUUGUAAUUGUUUUUAGUUCUCUAUAGACAAUGCAACCCCUUACUGCCAGCAUCUGAAGCAGAUACUUCCGUGCCCUACACUGCACCCUUGACACUACCCACUACCAGAUACACAGGGAUGCAAGAAGGAAGUGAGAGAAAUUGGAGACAACUAAUAAGGUGGUUGAAAAUGAAAACCUUCAGGGGAUAGUAAAGCUAAAAAGGGAAGAAAUACCCUUAACUAGUGCACGCAGAAGCUGAAAACAGCAAUGAUGAGCAAUUAAUCAGGCAAUAUGUUACACUGUAAUCAAGGAUCAGAAAAUUCCGGAAGGACUAAAUGACACAGAGUUUAUUACUGCAUGGUAAAUGAUCAUUAAUAAAAUGGGGCUGUUAAAAGAACUAAAGAGAUGAAUAAUCAUGGAAGGAAAUGUCAGCUGUAGAAGGAAUAACUUGUGGUCUUAAUCACUCGGAGAAAUUGCAAGUCUGGACACAGAAUCAAAAGGAAAGAAUGGAAAUUAGCAGUGCUAUGAAAACAUGGCACAAACCUGAAUGCUUUUUAUAUAAAAUCAAGAUAGUUACAAAGACGCCAUGCACUGGUUAAUGAAAAGUUUGACCUGGCUAACAUUUCAACUGCUAAAAAUAAUGAAUUUACCUAAUUUUAGUAUUCCAUUGUUUAGCAUUGAUCCCCACCUCUAGUAUAGAAACAAGAAAUUACCUUGUUGGAAUUGCUACAAUGUAGAGAUUACUCAAGUUGGAAUUUAUCUGGCCCCACUCGUUAUUCCUUGCAUUUAUCUGGCUGAUGGCUCUUGCUGAUCUGUAACUUUCCUAAACAGCUACCUCUGCACAUGAGCACUUCCAAAGACAGGACCAAGAGCAGCUUCCCAGGGCACGUCAUUCCGACAUCAUUCAUUAUGUCUCUUUAGAGGACUGCUUUUUUAAAGUGUAAUGUGGAGGGACUGAAAAGUGCUAUCAAGAAGAAAUAUACCCACAAGUGAGCAUAAAAAGGAAAAGGAUUUCAACAGAGACACCAAAAGUCAUUAUACAAAAAAACUGUAGGUUAUUCCUUUCAUGUGAUGGCUCAUGAUUUGUCUUUUUUUUUUUUUUAAUCUCUGUCAGUUGUUUAAGAGGAAGCAAAUCAAAGAGAAUACAGUGACUGAAGCUGUCAAAGGGAAUACUAACCAGUAAAAUCCUCUAACUGGACUUUAUGAGAAUAUAUCAUAAUGUCCAUGGAGGAAAAGUUAUGCUCUUCUCUACCUUAGCAUUUUGCAGCAAUUUUCCAUUCUCAUAUCAACAAAAAUUAGCUAAAUGAGCUAAAAUGUACUGACUAUUUACUAUGUGCCAGGAAUCAUUCUAAACUUGAAACAUACAGUAUCUCUUGAAAUUUUCAUGGCAACUCUAUGAUGUAUGUACUAUUGUUGCCCAUUUCAUAUUUUACAGCUAGAGAAAUUUUAUGGCAGAGUUAAUGUUCCAAAGAUAGUCUAAAAUAAUUCUUCCCCUUCCUAUAUGUACAAGCUGUUCACUCCACUAAGAGGUGGAGCUUACAUUCCCCUCCUCUUAAAUCUGUGCUGGGUCUAAGACUAAUUUGACCAAUAGAAUGCAGGAGAAGACAUACUAUGCAUACUCUAAACCAGGUAUUAAGAAGGCCUGGCAGCUUCUACAUCUUGAAAUCUAGCCACCCUGUUGUGAAGAAGCCCAAGCAGCAUGUGAAGAGGCUCAGAUGGACAAUAACCAAGACCCCUGGCCAAUAGUUUCAAGUGAGCUCCCAGCCAACAGCCAGCAACAACUUGCCAGUUAUGAGAGUGAGCCAUCUUGGAAGUAUAUCCUCUAGGCCUAGUUAAAACACUUGAGCUGGUGGCACAUGGAAAAGACACAGGCUCCAACAACUCCUAUCCAUAUUGCAAACUCAUUGUUAUUUUAAGCUGCUAAAUUUUCAGGUAGCUUAUUACAUAGCAAUAGAUAACUAAAACAGUGAACUACCCAAGAUCACACAGUAGGACAGUUCAACCUUAGGUAGGCCAUGCCUUUCACGCUCAAAUAAAUUAACAAGCUGCAUAUAAGGAUGUGCAAAGAAAGGAUUCUAAUCAGCACCAGAGGCGAAUGGAAGAUGUGCUUAUAUGGACAACUUUAUUCAACAAAUAGUCACUGAGAACCUGUAAGGUGCCAGAUAGUGAGCCCAGAUGCUAUAGAUAUGAAGUUGAAUAGUCAGAGUUCUGAGCUCAAGGAAUUCUCCAUGCAAGGCCACUAAGACAAAAUUUCAAUACCAUAAGAAAUGAUCAAAUUGAUGCAAAAUAAUGGAUAAUAUAGAUGCUUGGGAUCACUUGGGGACCUGACUCUUCAUUUUUCGCAUCCACCCAAAGGCAAGGAAUUACAGGGUAAGAUUUGGAGUAAGCUUGGAGUGGGUGGGUGUAGGAGAAAAAAGCAAGCAAACUUUCAUGGUAGAUCAACAACGACAACACAAACUAAAUAAAUGAGUGUGUGUGUGUGUGUGUGCGUGUGUGUAGGAAAGGUAAGCAAAAUAUGAGAAACGGAUAUUAGGAGAGGGAAAAGUCCAGUCAUUUCAAUUUGUCUUUGUGUGCACAUGCACGCCGGCACACACACACAGACAUAGCACUCUUAUGUAACAGUCCAUGGUCCAAUGGACCAUACAAGGUCCACGGAAAUAUUAUGACCAAAUUGAAUGUCAGAGAGUUCUUUAAAAAUUGUUACAGGGACUUCUAGUUCCAACAUGGAGUAGCCUCAUUUCUCCCUCUUACAGUGGCAGAGGUCUUCCCUCUUACAACGAAGAAUUCAUAAACAUAACAGCACAAGCAAGCUGACUAAAACUCUGAAAGGUGGGAAGAAGAUAGACUGCCUAGGAAUUUUAGGACUUGAGCAACGACAUAGCAGUGAGUUCCUCCCCACCAGCACCCCCUUAUAUAUCCCAGAUGUGGCACUGCAGAAGCCUCUAACUGGAAAACACCAACAUGCACAGACCAAAAAGAAGACCCUAAGAAAAGCCUAUUCCUCCUAGCCAAAAGACUAGGAAGAGGGAGGCCCUUCAACAGAAAACCAUUUUGGCAAUACUACCUUAUCCCAGGCAAAUGGC